GACGGGGGCCCGCACAAGCGGAGGAACAUGUGGUUUAAUUCGAUGAUACGCGAGGAACCUUACCCGGGCUUGAACUGCAGGCGAACGAUACAGAGAUGUUGAGGCCCUUCGGGGCGCCUGUGGAGGUGCUGCAUGGUUGUCGUCAGCUCGUGCCGUGAGGUGUCGGCUUAAGUGCCAUAACGAGCGCAACCCCUUUCUCCAGUUGCCAUCAGGUGAUGCUGGGCACUCUGGAGACACUGCCACCGUAAGGUGUGAGGAAGGUGGGGAUGACGUCAAAUCAGCACGGCCCUUACGUCCGGGGCUACACACGUGUUACAAUGGGUGGUACAGAGAGUUGGUCGUCUGCAAAUGCGAUCUAAUCAUGAAAGCCAUCCUCAGUUCGGAUUGGGGUCUGCAACCCGACCCCAUGAAGCUGGAUUCGCUAGUAAUCGCGCAUCAGCCAUGGCGCGGUGAAUACGUUCCCGGGCCUUGUACACACCGCCCGUCAAGCCAUGAAAGCCGGGGGCGCCUGAAGUCCGUGACCGCGAGGGUCGGCCUAGGGUGAAACCGGUGAUGG
rnacentral:rRNA from 1 species